rnacentral:rRNA from 1 species
AUUGAACGCUGGCGGCAGGCCUAACACAUGCAAGUCGAACGGUAACAGGAAGAAGCUUGCUUCUUUGCUGACGAGUGGCGGACGGGUGAGUAAUGUCUGGGAAACUGCCUGAUGGAGGGGGAUAACUACUGGAAACGGUAGCUAAUACCGCAUAACGUCGCAAGACCAAAGAGGGGGACCUUCGGGCCUCUUGCCAUCGGAUGGGCCCAGAUGGGAUUAGCUAGUAGGUGGGGUAACGGCUCACCUAGGCGACGAUCCCUAGCUGGUCUGAGAGGAUGACCAGCCACACUGGAACUGAGACACGGUCCAGACUCCUACGGGAGGCAGCAGUGGGGAAUAUUGCACAAUGGGCGAAAGCCUGAUGCAGCCAUGCCGCGUGUAUGAAGAAGGCCUUCGGGUUGUAAAGUACUUUCAGCGGGGAGGAAGGGAGUAAAGUUAAUACCUUGGCUCAUUGACGUUACCCGCAGAAGAAGCACCGGCUAACUCCGUG